UCAUCAUAUUAUUCCUCACCACAAGCCAAAACCUCAUCACCAUUAUUCUUCUUCUCCUUAUUAUUAUUAUUAUUAUUUUUUUUCAGUUUGCACUUCAACUUCGGGGUAUUAGUGCCGUUUGCAUCGCCACACACCACUAUCAAUGUUGCAUCGCCGUCGAUCAUCCCAGGGCCUUUUAAGCUUAUCGUCGUUCAAGUGAUUCACGC
rnacentral:misc_RNA from 1 species